rnacentral:rRNA from 1 species
GCGGCAGGUUGUAAGGGCGCAUGGCGGAUGCCUUGGCUCACGGAGGCGAUGAAGGACGCGAUAAGCUGCGAUAAGCCGCGGUUAGGUGCAAAUGACCCUUGACCCGCGGAUUUCCGAAUGGGACAACCCGGCAGUCUGAAGGACUGUCAUCCCGUGCCGGUGCACGGGAGGCGAACGGGGGGAACUGAAACAUCUUAGUACCCCCAGGAGAGGAAAACAACAGUGAUUCCCCCAGUAGCGGCGAGCGACCGGGGACUAGCCCAAACCGGCGUUGUGUCACCGCAUCGCCGGGGUAGUAGGACCACGACAGGGGCAUUGUAUACGGCGAGAGGAAUGUUCUGGAAAGUUCAACCGCAGAGGAUGACAGUUCCGUACUCGAAGCCUUGUGCAGCCCAGUGGUAUCCUGAGUAGCGCGGGACACGUGUAAUCCUGCGCGAAUCGGCCGGGUCCAUCCGGCAAGGCUGAAUACUCCCGUGAGACCGAUAGCGUACGAGUACCGUGAGGGAAAGGUGAAAAGCACCCCGACGAGGGGAUUGAAAUAGUUCCUGAAACCAUGCGCCUACAAGCGGUCGGAGCCCGUAUUUUACGGGUGACGGCGUGCCUUUUGCAUAAUGAACCUACGAGUUGCCGUCACCGGCGAGGUUAAGCGUCAUGAGGCGCGUUAGCCGCAGUGAAAGCGAGGCUGAAGAGGCCGCAGAGUCGGUGUUGGCAGACGCGAAACCGGGUGAUCUACACAUGUCCAGGAUGAAGUCCCGGUAACACGGGAUGGAGGUCCGCACCGAUAAGCGUUGAAAAGCUUCCGGAUGAGGUGUGUGUAGGAGUGAAAGGCCAAUCAAACUCGGAGAUAGCUCGUACUCCCCGAAAGGCAUUUAGGUGCCGCGUCGGAUGGUCACCGUGAGAGGUAGAGCGACCGAUAGGUCAAGAGGGCUUCACCGCCUAUCGAGACCUGACGAACUCCGAAUGCUCACGGUCUGCAGUCCGGCAGUAAGGGCAUGGGUGCUAAGGUCCGUGCCCGAGAGGAGAAGAAUCCAGACCGCCGUCUAAGGUCCCGGAAUCCUGUCUGAGUUAGUCUAACGAAGUCUGGUCUCGAUG